CCCCUUUUCCGGUCUUGCCCAGUUUUUACAUAUUUUGAAAACCAAUUGCCAAGAAAUACACACAUUACCGGUCGAUAUUUCGAACGAUGAUAUGAUGAAAAAAUAAACUAGAUUAUCUUGUAUAUGAGACAAUUUAUGAUGGGGUGAAAAUUCGUUUAACUUUGUCAAGGACCUUGGAUUUGUGGGCUCUAUUUACAUGGGGGUGGUAAGAAUUCCG